UACGUAGGGUGCAAGCGUUGUCCGGAAUUAUUGGGCGUAAAGAGCUCGUAGGCGGUCUGUCGCGUCGGAUGUGAAAAUCCAGGGCUCAACCCUGGACCUGCAUUCGAUACGGGCAGACUAGAGUUCGGCAGGGGAGACUGGAAUUCCUGGUGUAGCGGUGAAAUGCGUAGAGACCCGGAGGAACACCAGUGGCGAAGGCGGCUUCCUGGUCUGCAACUGACGCUGUGGCGCGAAAGCUAGGGGAGCAAACGGG
rnacentral:rRNA from 1 species